GGGGAAUUAGCUCAGUUGGUAGAGCGCUCGCUUUGCAUGCGAGAGGUACCGGGAUCGAUACCUGAAUUCUCCA
rnacentral:tRNA from 1 species